UUUCCGUAGGUGAACCUGCGGAAGGAUCAUUAACGAGUUAGGGUCUCUCUGGCCCGACCUCCCAACCCUUUGUCUACUUGACCAUCGUUGCUUCGGCGAGCCCGUCCUCACGGACCGCCGGAGGGAUCUUUACUGGCCCUCUGGUCCGCGCUCGUCGGUAGCCCAACCUUUAAAAUCUUUAACUAAACGUGCCUUAAUCCAAGUACAAUUAUUAAAUAAAAGCAAAACUUUCAACAACGGAUCUCUUGGUUCUGACAUCGAUGAAGAACGCAGC
rnacentral:misc_RNA from 1 species